UACAGAGGGGGCAAGCGUUGUUCGGAAUUACUGGGCGUAAAGGGCGCGUAGGCGGCCUUCUAAGUCAGACGUGAAAUCCCCAGGCUCAACCUGGGAACUGCGUCUGAUACUGGAUGGCUUGAAUCCGGGAGAGGGAUGCAGAAUUCCAGGUGUAGCGGUGAAAUGCGUAGAUAUCUGGAGGAAUACCGGUGGCGAAGGCGGCAUCCUGGACCGGCAUUGACGCUGAGGAGCGAAAGCCAGGGGAGCAAACGGG
rnacentral:rRNA from 1 species